GAUGAACGCUGGCGGCGUGCCUAAUACAUGCAAGUCGAGCGAACAGACGAGGAGCUUGCUCCUCUGACGCUAGCGGCGGACGGGUGAGUAACACGUGGAUAACCUACCUAUAAGACUGGGAUAACUUCGGGAAACCGGAGCUAAUACCGGAUAAUAUAUUGAACCGCAUGGUUCAAUAGUGAAAGACGGCUUUGCUGUCACUUAUAGAUGGAUCCGCGCCGCAUUAGCUAGUUGGUAAGGUAACGGCUUACCAAGGCAACGAUGCGUAGCCGACCUGAGAGGGUGAUCGGCCACACUGGAACUGAGACACGGUCCAGACUCCGACGGGAGGCAGCAGUAGGGAAUCUUCCGCAAUGGGCGAAAGCCUGACGCAGCGACGCCGCGUGAGUGAUGAAGGUCUUCGGAUCGUAAAGCUCUGUAAUUAGGGAAGAACGACUGUGUAAGUAUCUAUGCACGUUUUGACGGUACCUUGACAAGAAGCCACGCCUAACUUCGUG
rnacentral:rRNA from 1 species